rnacentral:lncRNA from 1 species
AAUCUCAAAUAAAUCUCAAAUCAAUUAAAAAAUUGAUGAGAAUAUUUUUCAUAGAUCCAUCAUCAUCCAAAUAGGUUAGGAAAAUAUUUUUGUAUUUUUUGAAUAUCAAAAACUAUUUAAAAUGAAUUAAAAAUAACCAGAAAAGAGAAAAUUCACAAAAAAUAUCAAAUGACAAAAUAAAAAAAUUAAAAAUCAGAAAUAGAAACUAGAAUUUAUUUGGAGACUAAUGCAAUUGGUCCCAUAAUUUUUGGAAUUAAAAUGAAAGAGUUAUGAAUUUUUGAAAUUAAUGGAAAUAAAAGAAAAUAAACCAGAAAAUUAAAAAUUCAAAAAAACCAGGAGCGUCAGAUCUGAGCUCAUUAAUUGAGCUGGCAGGUCAUGCGCUCCCACCAUA